GAAUGGCUAGAGUAUGAAUCUCUGCUCUCUCUCCAAUGGGAUCAGUGGCUGCCUCUACUACUUGGUUGACCUUCAUUACUUCUCAUUUCCUUUCUCACGUUCUACAGGAAUGUUUGCUGGAAGAAACACAAGGUCUUCAAUGUUAGCCUCUCACCCUGACAAAAGAAAAAGACCCUCAGCUUCCAGUUGCCUGCCACUUCAACGUACCACCUUGCUCCCUGGUCAACUUCUCUGGCUCAGGCUUACUGUAUGUUGCAGCAAAGCUGAGCACAAGUUGGAAGAAUAAAACUCGCUUUCCACUUGGGAACUCUACAGCCUUCUGGAUUCAAUAUCAAGUUCAACAAUUUAAGGGCUUGGUCUCUCCUAUGUCAAGCCUUGUUAUCACAGGGUCUGCUAUUACACACUAGCCACUAACAGUUUCCAUUAACAGCUACUCACCCUCCUUGCCUGUUCGUUAUCCACACCUUUGUCUGUCCAACUGUUCUUCUCUCUCUUUGGGCUCUAUUCACACCUAUUGUUUGCUCUUUACACCCUAUCUUUUGCGUAAAAAUGAACACUUUCCUAACUACCAUCAGUUCUGUAUAAGGGUCACUGGACCUGAAACAUUAACUCUGAUUUCCCUUCACAGAAGCUGCCAGACCUACUGAGCUUUUCCAGCAAUUUCUGUUUUCGUUAAAAGUAAAUAAAGAAUGGACAUCGUAAUUGGACAACAAACUCCAGAAUAAAUUUUAUCCCACAGGCAAUGUUGAGUUGGCCUUAUCCUGAUUGUAAAUAAGGAUAGAAGGACACAAGUAACUGUGAAAUGUCAACCUACAUUGUUUUGUAAAAUGUGCCUUCAGAAAUAUAUUCUGUUGAGGCAAAUUAAAUGUGACUUGGUUUUGAUGGUGGGGUUUGCGAAACACAAGGGCCUGUGAAGGAAGUUAAUCUUUGUAUUUUGUUUGUCCUUCCUUCUGUAUGAAUACACCGGUUUUGAUGUAUAUUGAAAAUAAAAAUUGUACUUUUUUUUCUUUCA